UGAAAACCCUAUUUCUGUGGCCCUCAUGCU
rnacentral:piRNA from 1 species